rfam:Pseudomonas sp. HPB0071 genomic scaffold aczIi-supercont1.1, whole genome shotgun sequence.
GGCGUGGCGUUUGCUAAUCCAUCCGUAACGGUAGCCAACGGCGGUUACCCACCUACGACAAAGGCGUCGC